CUGGGAAGAAUAAAGCGACCCUGCGAGGCGAGGCAUUGUUGGCCGAGGGGACAAAUGCUAAUUUCUCCUUCCCUCCACCGAACGCCCGAGCGAGAAAUGCAAAUACCUCUGGCAGAGGGCUGCAGAUAAAAGUCUGGGUGUCUGCAUGCGCGCACGCAGAUGGGUUUGAGUGCCGCGAUAAGCUGGCAAACAAGGGCUUCUCCACCUCCCCAUGGACCCCCAAAGGAGCUACAGGGCUCCCUGAGUCCAUCCUGGCCGAGCAUGGAGCGCCUCACUGUCCUGUAUGGCUUUUUAUUCCUA
ensembl:lncRNA